rnacentral:rRNA from 1 species
UACGUAGGGGGCAAGCGUUGUCCGGAUUUAUUGGGCGUAAAGAGCGUGUAGGCGGUCAGGUAGGUCCGUUGUGAAAACUCGAGGCUCAACCUCGAGACGCCGAUGGAAACCAUCUGACUAGAGUCCGGAAGAGGAGAGUGGAAUUCCUGGUGUAGCGGUGAAAUGCGUAGAUAUCGGGAGGAACACCUGUGGCGAAAGCGGCUCACUGGACCGCAACUGACGCUGAGGCGCGAAAGCUAGGGGAGCAAACAGG